UGGGUGGUAGUGCAGCGGGUUAAGCACACGUGGCUGCAAACCACAAGGACCAGUGGAAGGAUCCGGGUUCAAGCCCCCGGCUUCCCA
rnacentral:tRNA from 1 species